rnacentral:snRNA from 1 species
GGACGGGCGGUCUGGCUGCGACAUUUGUCACCCCACUGAUCACCGGGGUGGAUUCAGCUGAUCUGGCUGGCUAGGCGGGUGUCCCCUUCCUCCCUAACUGCUCCAUGUGCGUCCCUCCUGAAGCUGCGCUCUCGGUCGAAGAGACGACCAUCCCCGACAGAGGAGGACCUUUCUUCUUCUCGGUCAAGGGUGUAUGAGCAGCUGCACUUCCCUGCUGGACCCUCGAAACAGGCUCUCAGAUUAAAUUACUUUUACCAAAUCUAAAAAUCCCCUCAAAGCCAAUCUGUCAGUAGUAGGCCUGGUGCUCAUAUGUUUAUU